CAGGAUUUGAACCGGCGAAACCCUGGGCCGCCAAAGUGGAGCGUGUGAACUUAACCACUCAGCCAUGAGGCCAGCCUCGAGGUCCCAGGCUUUUGUAGAGGAAACAGUGCCCAAAUGGGAGAGGCCUCUAGGAAGCAUUUCUGUGGGGUAAAUGCACAGUAAUAAGCUCCUGAGAAACACAAAUUCUCAAGUCCGACUUCUCCAAACAGUUAUGUUUUAUAACGUUCAGAAUUUGCCUGCUCAAGGAAAAUAGAUUUCUCACUGCUAAUGAAAUAUAGUGUAAGGCUAAGGCUUACUUAUCCAUUAAAUGCCAGAAGCAACCUGAUCUAUAACACAUUUUUCUCUGAUUUCCUAGGUUUGCACAUGGAAGACAAAUAUUUUGAGAUAAAAUUGGGUAAUUUUGCUUUUAUGUAACAAGUUUGUUGCAAAACUCAACUAUCAAGAAAGGUUUCAAGAACCAGUAGUCUGAGAAACAAGGUUAUAACAGGAGUCUGUGGAUUUACUUCUUCAACAGUAAGGCCAACCUUGCAUAUCUUAUCAGAGACAAAGGGCACAAUAUUUCGUACAAGCCUGAACCAUGAAGACAGAGCAAUGAGAUACAAAAGCCAUCUGACAGUGGCAAUCUCAAAUGAAUAGCCUAGUUACAGCCUAUCACCAACAGUAAAGGCCUUCUUCAUGUCCUGGGUUUGGGUUAAGUUGCUAUCCCUGCCCCUAAUAAGAGUUCUUUUGGAGCAAUGGAAAUUAAGACGUUCCUCAUCCUCUGAAAAUCUGAACUUUGGCACCGAGAAAUAUUUUGGGUAGCCCAAGAAGGCAGAGCUGCUUCAAAUAUAUAUUUUAAUUAGACUCCUUCAGCUUCUCUUAAAAAUUAAAUGGAGGCAGAAGGACCGGGUGCUCACACCACCCAGAACUUCUUGCUGGGGCUACUGACUCCUUCUGAAGAAAUCUCUCUGCAGGCAGUAUGCACAGCUUAAUUCUUCUAGACUGAACCACUGCAGAUUUAUGCCAGUGAAGAGCAAACGUUGUUUAUUCCCCUGGGCUAGCCAACAUCACUGUGUUGGGACCUAGACCUACAAGAGUCUCCUGAUAAAGGCUGCUCGGCACAUGAUCAGAGAAGUCGGGUCAGCUCAUCAUGUCCAGACUGCAUGGUUCGGUGCUGCCAUCACUGCGCAAGGCCUCUGCGACAUCUCUUCUGAAGACAGAUAGGUUCUGGGUGAACCUGUGGAAAGAGGAAGAAAGGGCAAGGGCAGUGGCAAGGCCGAGGAUAUAUGAACCUCUAGAUGCUAAAGCCACUGUGGAGUUCAGAACCUUGGAGAGGGCCCUCUAUCCUGGCUGAGCUCCUUCCUCCCACUUUCACUGCCACCAGCACCUCUUCUCUCCUUCCCCUUCCGGAAAACAAGGGUUACCAAAAAAUACACUCUGAACAUUUUGAGGGAUGCAUUUUGUGGUUAUACUAUUUAAAAAUAUUUUUAAAAGUCAAAUUACACAUAGAUGGUAAGGAAUAUAAAGAAAAGAACUGAGGCUUAUGUGCCAGGCACUGGGUUGAGUAUACAUAUAAAUUCAUUUAAUCAUCAUAAAUCUUCCCCAAAGUAGGUAUUAGUAUCCUCAUUUUGCAGAUGGGGAAAUUAAACUUAGUGGUUAAAAAAGAAGGGGCACUGGGUUAGUUAGCGUCCAAAUCCUGGCUCCACCACAUGUUAGUUGGGUGAUCUCGGACGAGUACUUAGCCUCUUGUCUUGGUGCCCAAUAUGAGCAGCUACCUUACAAGACUGUGGGAAGUGAGAAUUUAUUAAGUCAAGUGAAACCUUGCCUGCAAGUGCUCAGCAUCAUGCCUGGUACAUGGAAAACACUCAGUCCUUGCUGGCUAGUACUGUCUUUAAGGCAGCAGGCUGUCUGUCUGACACUCCCAGAGCCGCUCGGCUCCACUAGGGAGGUGGGACUCAAAUUCCUGCGCCUCAGGAGUUGCAGUUCCCCCUAAGGCAUCUCAGACUUCCUCAUUCAUUAAGUCUCUUCUCCUGCUGGCUUUGCAGGUUCCCCUUUCUGCCUGACAGAGGAUCUUGGCAUGGAACAAGCAGUCAAGGGAACGUGUCCUGAGUCCAUCCAACUCGGUCUUGUAUUACCAAAGCCCACGCUGGUGACUCCAUGAAACACUGUGGCUACUGGGAUGACUGAUGAUGUGCAUUCAAAUGGUACAGCAUUUGAGUGCUACCACUUUUCAAUAAAAGGAUGGUGCAGCAGAGCUUGGAUUUAAAUCACAAUCACACCGAGGGAAGAUGAAUGACAGUGCGACUGAAUGUGGCUAAAAUUGGAUACUUCAGCACAGCUUGGGCUGGUGUAUGGCUUCUCCGCCCUCCCAGUGACCGCCUCCUGUGGAUCUUCCUGCAAUCACACUCACCUUCUCAUUGAGCAGGAUGAGCCCCAGGAGAGGCCUUGAUACUGACCACUGGUUCCGACAGUCUUCAAAGACAAUGGUGUUCAUGAGGACAGACAUCAUCUGGAAGACAGAGUCAUAGGAAGACACUGAUGCCUUGGCUCAGAGACCCCCCAAUCCUAGGUCUUUUAGGUGCUCACCUUCUACCCCCACAUCUUGCCAACAGCCGUGAAGGCUCUUCCUGAACAAACAGCUUUGACUUUGGAAACCUAUAAUGCUGCUUGUAAGAACUCUUGGAAAAGGCUCUCAGCUUCCUGGGGAAGAGUUUCCACCACCAGAAGCCUUGGUGAGAACCUUCUGGGUGGCACAAGUCAGAGGUCACAGUGCCAAGAGGAUGAGUCCUGCCUCUCAGCCCUGAUAUGCUUUCCUCAAUGCUAGGUCACCAGGCAAAAGCCCAGCUCACCCUCCCUUCUGCCUCUCAUUUCACCAAAGACAUCAAGUUAUGGAGGGGAAACAUCUCUCCAGGAGCCCUCUCAGAGGGAGGAAUGGCACACAUUCCGUGUAACCUGGGAAUGUCAUGUUCCUGCUGGCUCAGGCUGUUAAAGGCUUCUCAUUCGUUCUUCAUUCACCAAUUCACUUACUUCUUACUCACUUCACUCUUACAUACUCACUCAUCCAUUCUACUAAAAUUCAAAGUCUACAAGACACCUAGAGAAGGUAAGAGAACACAAGCAUCUACCACAACCUCUGUCCUUGAGGAGCUAGAAGCUUCCUAAGGCAGACCACCCACCAGAGAGAUAACAGGAAAUAGGGCUGGGCAAAGUGCUGUGGGCAUGCAGUGGAGGGAAGGAUGCCUCUGCAUCCUUGAGAAGUCCGGGAAGACUCUACCAAGAAGGUAAGGUUUAAGGAAUUCAUCAUAAAUAUGUUCUAAGCAGAGAAAGCAGCAAAAAAGGAGGUUGGGAAUGAACACAGUAGGUUCUGCAAUGGUAGGGAACUCAGUGUGGCAGGAGAGAAGAGAGUGGGGCAAGAAGCAAGACCCCAGUGCCAGGCUGGAAGGCCAUGCUGCAGAAUCUGAACUUCAUCCUGAUGGCAGUGGGAGCCAGUGAUGGGCCUGCAGCAAAAAGAGACAUGCUCAGAUUUGCACUUAAGGAAGAUCCCUCUGGGGACAUGUAGAACGUGUACUGUAUCGGUGACAUUAACGAAGGGAGGCCAGAGACGAGGCUGCUGCAAUAGUCCAGGGAAGUCACAGUGAAGCAAGCUUCUACAAUCUAUGUGGAGCUAAUGAUACAGUUUCUGCUUUUGGGCUCUACCUCCCACCUCUAGCCCUUCUGUGUCCACAGCUUCAAAGCUCCUUUCCCCCAAGGAGGGCUGGGGAAAUGGCGAUUAUGUGGCAAAGGUUACCACACACAGCAUCCCUGACUGGGCUUGACAUUUGGUUUUGUCCUCUGGCAUUUUUGCAAUCCAAUUUUUGAAAUUCAGCUGUGAUCUCAGGCAAGUUACUGAACCUCUCCCUCUGUGUCUCAGUUUCAUUAGCUAUAAAAAGGGAAAUAAUAAUCCAGCACAAGGAAGCUCUGAGAAUCAAAUGAGAUGGUGGAUAUAAAAAGUGCUACAAAGAGUAAAAACUGCUAUAAACAUUUAAGGUAUAUAAUAACAACAGUAAUGAGCUUCUUUGUAGCUCUAAACAUCUGCCAUCCUGUACAUCAUCAUCGUAACAGGCUGGUUGCAAAUGAAAUCUGCCGAUUCCAUAUUUACUCUAUGUCCAGUAUCUCUGGGGAGAGGCUAAGGCUUAAGCCUGGCAUGUUGAACAUCAUUUGCGGAUCACAUGUUGCCAUGUACAAUCUAACAAGCCACCCAAAGUCAUGGAGCCACAAAUUAAAUUGACAAGCAAAACUAACAGAUCCAUGGAGACAGUCUAAAAUAUUAUGAGCUUCACAAUCUGAAGGCAGAAUGGAUAUUUUAAUGGAAAAGAUUAAAGUUACAGGCACCAAACUCCUCUAGUAACUGACAAAGCAUCCUGAAGUGAUGUGCCAAUUACUUUAUACGGUUCUCCCGUGGAUUCAUUUGUCUGAAUGCAUGUAUUUAUGUCUGUAAUAAGUAAGGGGAUGUUUGAAUAAAAUACUUUUGUAAAAAUAAAGUUGGCUAAAAUGGAUGAUUUCUUUUUCUUUUUUACUCCUUCGUAAAAGUGGAAAUUAGUGAGCAAAUCUGCUCAAAUGGUAUUGAUGGGGCAGCUCAUUUUUGGAGUUCUUUUUUCUAAUAAUCCUAAAGUGUAUGGGGGAAACAGCUCAACCAAUGUGGCAAAUUCCUUUGGAGAAGGGCCCCCCCUCCGGAAGAAGAGCGGGUGAAAUGCUUAAUCCCGUUCCAGGUAGUGUGACAGCUCUGGUGGUAGGCUCUCUGUGGUUACUGACAGGAACAAGUGAAGACUAAAAGGAGAGAGCCCUUGGCAACUCUGCGCCAAGUCACGCUGCGUGAGGGGGCCUCCACUCCCCCAAAUUCUGCUCACUUCACAUACUGUUACAGAGAUGACCGGAAUGGUCAUUUCAAAUUUGUCCAACCCAGGCUACAUUUUCCGGGGCCUAUGGCCAAAAACAUUAUCCACUGUAUUAUCCUAAGCAAUGAUUCUGCCAAACCAGGGAAGGGGCCACUUGGGAAGGGGAGUCACUUGGCUCGGUCUGCUUAGGAAACACACUCCACACAGCCUCAGGCGCUUCUUCCUUCUCCUUUCUCCUUCCCACAGGCUUCCAUAUAAGUUUGUAGGAAAUUUCUCUCAAUGAAGUGAAGCCAACAUGGUGUGGCAGGGACAGGCUUUGGAGCCAAUCAGAACUGCAGCCGAAUUUGGCCCUGCCACUUACCUAACUUGGGUCAUUGGCCAGUCAUUUCACUUCUCUGAGCCUUUAUUUCCUUACAUAUAAAGUGGGGGAUUAUAACACCUGCUCUGCAGGGCUGCCAUGAGGACUGACUUCUAUCAUAGGCACUCAAUGAUGACUAGUGUUUCUUUCUCCGACUAUGGUUACCCUCCCUGGCCUGACUCAAUGGAAUCUCAUGGGUCAAGGAAGCACCCAUUUCAUGUCCUGAUUAGGUGUAGAUAAAUACGAUUAUAUCUCCUGACAACUAUCUAACUUCAUUGAGAGUUGCAGUAAAAAAAAAAACACCAAAAAACCAAAGAUAGGAAAUAGUCCAAAAAAGCACCCCUAUUUGGUCUGGCACUUACAUUCGUAUGGAUUUUGAAUGAUAGCGUUUCUGUUGUUCUAAAAACUUGUAAUCUUCCAAAUAAAAUACAAAGCUACUCUACAAAUAUCUGACCUGGAAAAGUAAACACAGUGGUGUUGUGUUAUCGGGAUCUCUGUCCACUCCUCCCCUCCUCUCCUAUGCUUCCACCUUAAAAUGGGAUGUAAAAGCACAAGCACAAAGCCAAGCAGACUCUCCUACUCAACAUGCUGGCUCACACUUUCCCUACGUGCUCUCACUUCAGAUGCUUCUUGUUCUAUCUCCUGAUGACACAGAAUAAGCAAACGCGUGGUUUCUGUUGGCUGCUUUACUGCUAGAUGGAAAGAAUGUCCUCUUUCUAAGGAAGCUGGAGGCUCAGUGGGUCUAGAAGCUAGGUAGAGCUGGAUGGCUGCAGAGAUGUGGCUUGAGUGAGUCUAGGAUGAUGACUAGUGGGGUCGGGUAGGGAGAUUAGUCUGCAAACUGCUGGAGUGCUAGGACCACAGGGACUUUCCUCUGUAUCCCCAGUCCCUAGCGUGGCAUCUGGCACACAUCAGAGGCUUAGGAAACGGCUACUGAAUGAAAGGAUGAAUAUAUAAAUGAAUAAAUGAAUGAAGGGGAAAGGAUGAGUGAAAUAUGAAGAACUAAAGUACAAAGAGUUAAUGAGCUGAAAGGAGACUGUACAGAAAACAGAAGUUCCGGCCUCAAUCUAGGGCUAAAACCCGAAAUGGGUAAAUAUCUAAAUUAAUACAUUGUUCAUUUCCAAGGAUCUUGCUUUUGUGUGCAGAGCCUGAGAACUCUUCUAAGCCACUGUUGUCCCUCUGGCCAGCAGCUCCCAGGGAGAGCCAAGGCAGGGGCUUUCAGGUUACAAAGACCAAAAGCAGAGGUACCAUCUUUUCUAAUGAGAAGCUCUUCUACCUAAGAGUAAGCUGUGCUGGGUGAGUUUUCUCACUGCCCAACUAUAAUACCUAUCAUUUAUGGAGGGCCUUCUGGGUGCUCAGCACUCUUUUAGGCACAUGCAUAUACUGCUUCUAACCCUCAGCUAACCCUGAAGUAGAUAUUACCCCCAUUUCAUAGACUAAAGAUGUGAGGUCCUGAGCGAGUGAGUAACUUGCUCAAGGAAUCACAGCUAUCAGCUACCAAGAUGUGAAGUGGAACUAGGAUGUGUGCAUAGGUAUAGCUCAGAGGCCAUGCCUGUGCCAUCAUGCCGGCCUGCUGCCUGCUACCCUUAGGCAGUCCUUUGAGUGAGGACCAAGACCACCAGCAGUGGUGAUCGAGACAGUGUGUUUGGCUCCCACUGUAGACUUAGGGAGGAGGGAGAGGAAAGGCUCAUUUCUGGGCAUGGCUCAUUCUUCCACUUUCAGUGGGCCUCCCGGAUAUGUUGCCCACAUGCAUCUCCUCUGUUCAGCCACUCUGCCACCUGCUGAAGAGUCAGGCAGCCACUGAAACCCCUGUGAUCAGAAUCCAGGGCAGCAGUUCCUGGAGAGUUUACAGCAAACCUUCUUGUCUCCCACCUAAAGCUUUUAUAAAUUUGGUUAACAUAUUGUCAGACUUCAAGAUGAACAACAGUAGACAUAAAUUAAGACUGUCUCUGGAAAAUGGUCCACUGAACACUUUCCUAAAAAUAAUGGCUUUCCUUCCAACAAAAGUACCAUGUACAUAGCAAUUUAAAUUAACAUCAUAGAAAACAUUAGUAAAUUAAGCUAAUUUCCUUUGAGUUAUAAUACUCCCUAUAAAGUAAACACUUUUCAAUGUUAAUCUUCUUCGAGCAUACUGAAUAACAUAAAAAAUAUUCCACAAAGUUCUAAGAAGUAGGUGAAAAAAUUCAAACUCCUCCCUUUUGCUUCCCAUCUGUAAGAAAGACAAAAUAGAACCUGAAGUGAUGAUAUGAACCCUGAUCCUACAGGGGUCAAAUUCUCAAUAUAUUUAGGGAACAUCAGCUCUUCCUCUAUCUCAGCCUCUUUGUUCAGGGUUACAUGACAUUUUAGUUAUUCUGAAACUUUGCUGUCUAUUGAUCAGGGAAAUGGAAAAUGGGAAUGAGGCAAGAGUAUUCUGUCUUGUCCAAAAGGUGGUGGAAGGAGGGCCUGAGAAGGAGGCUUUGGUUUAGACAAAGGACGAACAGACCACAGAAAAGGUGAGAGACCAAAGCAUCCCCGGCCUGGGUAUAGAUGGCAGUGGGGGAGGAAGACAAAGCAAGGAUGGUCAGGGCUGUACCCAGGAGGGUAUGUCUGCACAGUGGGGCUCUGUAGCUGUUGGGUGGGGGGCCUCAAUGGGAAGAGGGGUAGGAUACAAAACUAUCUGUCCCUUUGGCCAAGCUGGAUUGUCCUUGAUUUUGAAACAAUGAGUUGGUGAUGUUUUGAGGAACAACCAAUAAUAAAUGCACCGAACACUCAAGAGCUGCUUCUGAAUCUCAGGAAUCGUUUGGCACACGUAAUUGGCCUUUCAGAAGGCCAGUGAGAGAGGAAGGGGAAGCUUGGCCCUAGCAACAACAAUAGAAACAACAAAACAAAAACAGGAUUGCCUGGAUAGUGCAGUAUGAUCUGAAAAAGCAGAGAAACCUUCUACUCCUCUCCACAGCAAUUUUUCCAGAGCCCCAUACCGGGGUUGAAGAUCAAGGAUUUGGGAGAAUCUGAAUACUUCUGAAGGAGGAAAAGCUUCCAGAUUUUCAGUGCUCAUGGAAGUAAGGGAGUUGCUGUCAUUACCAAGGGCUGUUCCUGAAGCCACGUGCACAGAAGAUAUUGAAAUGCGAUCCUCCUCAAAUUAGAUACUAGUCAUCUUUAGGGAAAAGGAAUCAAUUGUUCUCUUCGUCUGCUGUCUACGGACGCGAUAUUAGUGGAAGGUUAUGAAAAAUGAAAGUAAUGGACAAAUAAGCAUAUAUUUUCCUGCCUGGAUUAACUAAGCCCCACUAUCUGAGUUAUAUUAACCUUUUAAUAUCUGUACAUACUGAGCACAUUUCUAAGUUCUUACAGUGUCUUUGCAGCCUGAUUAUAGAAGCAAGUAUUUAGCACUUUAAAUAAAAAAAAAAAAUCAAACAAAAU